rnacentral:rRNA from 1 species
UACGGAGGGGGCUAGCGUUGUCCGAAGUACUGGGCGUAAAGCGCGCGUAGGCGGGUUGGUAAGUCCGCUGUGAAAGCCCGGAGCUCAACUCCGGAGGGUCGGUGGAUACUGCCAGUCUUGAAGGUGCUAGGGGGAGAUGGAAUUACCGGUGUAGCGGUGAAAUGCGUAGAUAUCGGUAGGAACACCAGUGGCGAAGGCAGCUCGCUGGGACGGUACUGACGCUGAGACGCGAAGCGUGGGAGCAAACAGG